rnacentral:rRNA from 1 species
AACGAACGCUGGCGGCAUGCCUAACACAUGCAAGUCGAACGAGACCUUCGGGUCUAGUGGCGCACGGGUGCGUAACGCGUGGGAAUCUGCCCUUGGGUUCGGAAUAACAGUUGGAAACGACUGCUAAUACCGGAUGAUGACGUAAGUCCAAAGAUUUAUCGCCCAGGGAUGAGCCCGCGUAGGAUUAGCUAGUUGGUGGGGUAAAGGCCUACCAAGGCGACGAUCCUUAGCUGGUCUGAGAGGAUGAUCAGCCACACUGGGACUGAGACACGGCCCAGACUCCUACGGGAGGCAGCAGUGGGGAAUAUUGGACAAUGCGCGAAAGCCUGAUCCAGCAAUGCCGCGUGAGUGAUGAAGGCCUUAGGGUUGUAAAGCUCUUUUACCCGGGAUGAUAAUGACAGUACCGGGAGAAUAAGCCCCGGCUAACUCCGUG